rnacentral:rRNA from 1 species
GUCCACGCCCUAAACGAUGUCGACUGGUUGUUGGGGGUUUGACACCUUCAGUAACGAAGCUAACGCGUGAAGUCGACCGCCUGGGGAGUACGGCCGCAAGGUUAAAACUCAAAGGAAUUGACGGGGACCCGCACAAGCGGUGGAUUAUGUGGAUUAAUUCGAUGCAACGCGAAAAACCUUACCUACCCUUGACAUGUCCUGGAGCCCGCAGAGAUGCGGGUGUGCCCGAAAGGGAACGGGAACACAGGUGCUGCAUGGCUGUCGU